UACGGAGGAUCCGAGCGUUAUCCGGAUUUAUUGGGUUUAAAGGGUGCGCAGGCGGGAGAUUAAGUCGGCGGUGAAAUUUUGCAGCUCAACUGUAAAAGUGCCUUCGAAACUGGUUUCCUUGAGUGUAGAUGAAGUAGGCGGAAUUUGUGGUGUAGCGGUGAAAUGCAUAGAUAUCACGCAGAACUCCGAUUGCGAAGGCAGCUUACUAAGCUACAACUGACACUGAAGCACGAAAGCGUGGGGAUCAAACAGGAUUAGAUACCCCCGUAGU
rnacentral:rRNA from 1 species